AACGAACGCUGGCGGCAGGCCUAACACAUGCAAGUCGAACGGUAACAGGAAACAGCUUGCUGUUUCGCUGACGAGUGGCGGACGGGUGAGUAAUGUCUGGGAAACUGCCUGAUGGAGGGGGAUAACUACUGGAAACGGUAGCUAAUACCGCAUAACGUCGCAAGACCAAAGAGGGGGACCUUCGGGCCUCUUGCCAUCGGAUGUGCCCAGAUGGGAUUAGCUAGUAGGUGGGGUAACGGCUCACCUAGGCGACGAUCCCUAGCUGGUCUGAGAGGAGGACAAGCCACAGCGGAAAUGAGACACGGUCAAGAUUCCUACGGGAGGCAGAAGUGGGGAAUAUUGCACAAUGGGCGCAAACCUGAUGCAGCCAUGCCGCGUGUAUGAAGAAGGCCUUCGGGUUGUAAAGUACUUUCAGCGGGGAGGAAGGGAGUAAAGUUAAUACCUUUGCUCAUUGACGUUACCAGCAGAAGAAGAACCGGCUAACUCCGUGCCAGCCGCCGCCGUAA
rnacentral:rRNA from 1 species